AAAACACAAGCCACGGUUUCCAAAGCUCUCCGGCGUGAGGGCUACACGGUUCUCCCUCGCGCUGAUCCAAGCAGCCAGGGAGAAAAACACGUUCCCGAGCCUGCCCCCUGAAGCCCUCGGGGCCGGGGUCGGGGUCGGGGCCGGGGCUGGGACCACCCUAUCGCUCCGGGGGGUCCCCGGGGCUCCCCGGCGGCCCGGGCACCGCAUCCCUCCGGGGGCCAGCCGGCAGCUCUCGCCUCCCUCGCAACUCGCAUCAGUGCGGGAGGCGUGGAUGACUCGGUCUCUCCAAAAAAACAAACAAAAAAACCCAUAAUAAUAAUAAUAAUGAUGGGAAAAAAAAAGAUCAAAAUAAACCCAACCCGCAUCCCUCGGCGGGAGGAAGGAGAGAUGCCCCGCCGCUUACCUUGCUCCGCGGGAGCCCGGGGCACCGCCGGGGGCUGGAGGAGGGAUUCCCCGGCGCUGGCAGGGGCUGCUCGGGCUUCCCCGGGCAGUGCGCGGCCGCCAAAGCCCCGGCGAGAGUGAGCUGGCAUUGAGAGCUACAAGACAUCUGGGACUGGGCUGUUGGAAAGGCUGGGUCCAGCAUGAGGAAGCCUUCACAACCUUCAACACCUCACAGCACCUGCCUUCUCCUGAGAUGGGGCUGCAUUGUUUUUCCUUCUCUUACUGCACAGAUCAUUUCAUUUCCACUUGGAGCAUAUCUAUAUAAUGCAACAAAAGUGCAAGGGUCACUGUAGCCACAGUGCUGUUGGCAUAAUACUCUACUGCUUCUUCACUGUAGAUACUGUCACACUGUAACUGAGGCUGCCACCAGUUCUUGUCAAAUUGGAGGCAUCAAGGCAUUUAUCAGACCAUGGCUGAACUCCUAAAUAAGAAGUAUUACUUGCCUUGCUUCUUUUUUUUACCACUGGCUUUGCAAAUUAAAUGUUUUAAACAUGAUGAAAAUGUCAGUUUCACAAAUGGUUUAUUGACCAAGCUGUUUUAUGUUUAGAAAGAAAUGUUCCUAUAAGUAAGAACUAUAUGAGCUGGACAGGGCAUAUAAACUGAAACAAAAGAAUGCCUUGAUUAAAUGUACUUAAAAGUUCGCCAUCAUGAUUAAUGGUUUUCUAAGCUUUCAAGAGUGCCCCAAUGACCAUAUAUUAAAUCAUGAAUGCUUUUUUGAAUAUGCUGUAUUGGCAGAUGUUCAUUAAAUGUACCCUUAUUACAUGUGUAUGUAUUUUCUUGAGUUCUUUACAGAUUAAUGUUUACACAUACGCGUCAGCCUUCUUACAGGAAAAAAUAGAUAAAAGAAACCACUGCCACCCUCAAAAAAGGUACCUUGUACUACAGUAGUAAAUAUGCUUUCGGUAUGCUUAAUUUUGUAGUCUUCCUGAGCUGGCCCAAUCUCAUUGCCAGAUUUUAACGUACAAAAACUUAUUAUGCUUACUAUAUUUAGAUAGGCAAUUCUGCAUAAUCUGGCUUUCCUCCUAAAUUACAUACAUUAUGACUCUUUUGAGCUUUCUUAUUACAUUACCAGUCUAAUGAA
rnacentral:lncRNA from 1 species